UUUCACGGACAUCGAGUCGUUCUUCAAGAUUAUACCCAGAGAAAUAUUUCCUGCGGAUUAUGGUGGAGACGUAGAUCGUGUAGAGGUUUUGGCAGAAAGAAAUAGGAGGAUGUUCGAGGAAUGCGCUGAAUUUUUCGAGGCUCAAGAGGGACAGUUAACCGACGAAUCUAGAAGGGUUGAACAGUCACGAGAUUUCAACAAUGCGUUUGGCGUGGAGGGGACUUUUAGGAAGCUGCAGCUCGACUGAAAUGGAUAAUUUGCCUUGUGAAGAAGAUAGAAUAAAAAUUGCCCAUGAAAUGUAAUCAGAAGAGCAAUAAAAUUUUGCAUCAGAA